GAUGAACGCUGGCGGCGUGCCUAAUACAUGCAAGUCGAGCGAACAGACGAGGAGCUUGCUCCUCUGACGUUAGCGGCGGACGGGUGAGUAACACGUGGAUAACCUACCUAUAAGACUGGGAUAACUUCGGGAAACCGGAGCUAAUACCGGAUAAUAUAUUGAACCGCAUGGUUCAAUAGUGAAAGACGGUUUUGCUGUCACUUAUAGAUGGAUCCGCGCCGCAUUAGCUAGUUGGUAAGGUAACGGCUUACCAAGGCAACGAUGCGUAGCCGACCUGAUAGGGUGAUCGGCCACACUGGAACUGAGACACGGUCCAGACACCUACGGGAGGCAGCAGUAGGGAAUCUUCCGCAAUGGGCGAAAGCCUGACGGAGCAACGCCGCGUAAGUGAUGAAGGUCUUCGGAUCGUAAAACUCUGUUAUUAGGGAAGAACAAAUGUGUAAGUAACUAUGCGCGUCUUGACGGUACCUGAUCAGAAAGCCACGGCUAACUACGUG
rnacentral:rRNA from 1 species